rnacentral:rRNA from 1 species
AGCAGCCGCGGUAAUUCCAGCUCCAAUAGCGUAUAUUAAAGUUGUUGCAGUUAAAAAGCUCGUAGUUGAAUUUCGGGGUUAGUAGGUUGGUCAUGCCUCUGGUAUGUACUGGUCUCACUGAUUCCUCCUUCCUGAUGAACCUUAAUGCCAUUUAUUUGGUGUUUUGGGGAAUUUGGACUGUUACUUUGAAAAAAUUAGAGUGUUUAAAGCAGGCAUUUUUGCUUGAAUACAUUAGCAUGGAAUAAUAAAAUAGGACGGCAUGAUUCUAUUUUGUUGGUUUCUAGGAUCACCGUAAUGAUUAAUAGGGAUAGUUGGGGGCAUUAGUAUUCAAUUGUCAGAGGUGAAAUUCUUGGAUUUAUUGAAGACUAACUACUGCGAAAGCAUUUGCCAAGGAUGUUUUCAUUAAUCAAGAACGAAAGUUAGGGGAUCGAAGACGAUCAGAUACCGUCGUAGUCUUAACCAUAAACUAUGCCGACCAGGAAUCAGACGAUGUUAAUUUUUUAAUGACUCG